rnacentral:rRNA from 1 species
GAUGAACGCUGGCGGCGUGCCUAACACAUGCAAGUCGAGCGGCAGCGAGGGGUGCUUGCACCCUGUCGGCGAGCGGCGGACGGCUGAGUAACGCGUGGGAACGUGCCCCAAAGUGAGGAAUAACUGCCCGAAAGGGUAGCUAAUACCGCCUAUUAUCUUCGGAUCAAAGGCUUUAUCCGCUUUGGGAGCGGCUCGCGUCGGAUUAGGUAGUUGGUGAGGUAAUGGCUCACCAAGGCGACGAUCCGUAGCUGGUCUGAGAGGAUGACCAGCCAGACUGGAACUGAGACACGGUCCAGACUCCUACGGGAGGCAGCAGUGGGGAAUCUUGCACAAUGGGCGAAAGCCUGAUGGAGCAACGCCGCGUGAAGGACGAAGGCCUUCGGGUUGUAAACUGCUUUUAUAAGUGAGGAAUAUGACGGUAACUUAUGAAUAAGGAUCGGCUAACUACGUG